rnacentral:rRNA from 1 species
AUUGAACGCUGGCGGAAUGCUUUACACAUGCAAGUCGAACGGUAACGGGCCUUCGGGUGCCGACGAGUGGCGAACGGGUGAGUAAUGUAUCGGAACGUACCUUUCAGUGGGGGAUAACGUAGCGAAAGUUACGCUAAUACCGCAUAUUCUGUGAGCAGGAAAGCAGGGGAUCGCAAGACCUUGCGCUGAUUGAGCGGCCGAUAUCAGAUUAGCUAGUUGGUGAGGUAAAGGCUCACCAAGGCGACGAUCUGUAGCGGGUCUGAGAGGAUGAUCCGCCACACUGGAACUGAGACACGGUCCAGACUCCUACGGGAGGCAGCAGUAGGGAAUAUUGGACAAUGGGCGCAAGCCUGAUCCAGCCAUGCCGCGUGAGUGAAGAAGGCCCUCGGGUUGUAAAGCUCUUUUGUCCGGAAAGAAAAGCGCCGGGUUAAUACCCUGGUGUCCUGACGGUACCGGAAGAAUAAGCACCGGCUAACUUCGUG